rnacentral:rRNA from 1 species
CUCGUAGGCGGUUCGUCGCGUCCGGUGUGAAAGUCCAUCGCUUAACGGUGGAUCCGCGCCGGGUACGGGCGGGCUUGAGUGCGGUAGGGGAGACUGGAAUUCCCGGUGUAACGGUGGAAUGUGUAGAUAUCGGGAAGAACACCAAUGGCGAAGGCAGGUCUCUGGGCCGUUACUGACGCUGAGGAGCGAAAGCGUGGGGAGCAAACA